UUCCUGGUAGUCUAGUGGUUAGCAUUCAGUGCUUACACCACUGUGGCCUGGGUUCAACCCCUGGUCUGGGAA
rfam:Sus scrofa isolate TJ Tabasco breed Duroc chromosome 13, whole genome shotgun sequence.